GAUGAAGAACGUAGCGAAAUGCGAUAAGUAAUGUGAAUUGCAGAAUUCAGUGAAUCAUCGAAUCUUUGAACGCACAUUGCGCCCGCCAGUAUUCUGGCGGGCAUGCCUGUCCGAGCGUCAUUUCAACCAUCAAGCCCCGGGCUUGUGUUGGGGACCUGCGUCCGACGCAGGCCCUGAAAACCAGUGGCGGGCUCGCUGUCCACACCGAGCGCAGUAACUAACCUCGCUAUGGAGUGGCGCGGGCGCCUGCCGUAAAACCCCCAAUUUCACAAGGUUGACCUCGGAUCAGGUAGGAAUACCCGCUGAACUUAAGCAUAUCAAUAAGCGGAGGA
rnacentral:misc_RNA from 1 species